GUAACGGCGAGUGAAGCGGCAACAGCUCAAAUUUGAAAUCUGGCCUCUUCGGGGUCCGAGUUGUAAUUUGUAGAGGGUGUUUCGGGCGCGAUGCCGGUCUAAGUUCCUUGGAACAGGACGUCGUAGAGGGUGAGAAUCCCGUAUGCGACCGGCGAUCAAGCCCGUGUGAAGCCCCUUCGACGAGUCGAGUUGUUUGGGAAUGCAGCUCAAAAUGGGUGGUAAAUUUCAUCUAAAGCUAAAUAUUGGCCAGAGACCGAUAGCGGACAAGUAGAGUGAUCGAAAGAUGAAAAGCACUUUGGAAAGAGAGUCAAACAGUACGUGAAAUUGUUGAAAGGGAAGCGCUUGCAAUCAGACCGGUCCGGAGGCGAUCAGCCGCUGCUCGUCAGCGGUGCACUCGCCUGCGAUCCGGCCAGCAUCGGUUUGGGCGGCGGGAUAAAAGUCCCGGGAAUGUAGCUUCCUUCNGGGGAGUCUUAUAGCCCGGGUCGCAAUGCCGCCCGCCCGGACCGAGGACCGCGCUUCGGC
rnacentral:rRNA from 1 species